GUAGGAGUAGAGUGGCAGUAUCGUAGCCAAUGAGGUUAAUCCAAGGCACGAUUAUUGGUAAUUGAAAUUUUUUCUGUCAUGGUCAAAAUAACUUGACCAUCAAUAGAGUCAAUUGUUUAAUACAUUAUUUUUUCUUAAU
rfam:Alligator mississippiensis ScZkoYb_56, whole genome shotgun sequence.